GGCGGCCCCGCGGAGCCGGGCGGAGCGGCGGCGGCUCCAGGCGGGAGCGCUGCCCCGGGGAUCGGGGGAUACUCCAGGUAGGGAGCGCUGCCCCGGGGAUCGGGGGAUCCUCCAGGGGGAAGGCACCCCAGAAAAUCAGGCAGGAUGCUGUCAUUGCCAUUGGCUGGUGCUGUGUGGAGAACCAAAUCCUCAGAUGACAGAAACUGUCCUUGACCUGUUCCAGACAAUGGUUCUGCACCAGUUAUUGCCAGGGGAUCAUCUGCUUCAAGGUUCUAUGUAAUCUCAUUGGGCAACAGCAGUGGAACUAACUCGUC
rnacentral:lncRNA from 1 species